AACCACUGUUCCAUGAAAAAAGCAAUACAGGAAUGUUAAUUAUAUGAAAAAUAAUUUUGUAAUAAUGGCACACACUAACUGUUGAUAGCUAGUAAAAUAAACAGUUUGCCCUUACAAUUACAUUAAUCAUUAACUCUUAUUCUUGAAUAAUAUCUCCUUGUUAUCAUUUGUCUGACCAAUACAGACCCCAAGGGUGACUGGGGUAUAGAAAUAUGGUCACUUGGUCUUCUCCCGACCGGCAGUAAAACGCUUGCCGAAGUGGGGCGUCCGUUUGGCUGUGCGGGAUGUAUCAAGUUCGCAGUCACGUCCGGUCAGAAGGGGGACGUUAAAUCCGAUGCCCCGUGUACAGAGAGUGCCACGCUCUUUGCACGUUAAGAACCCUUGCAACAACUCUUUGAGGGGUCCGUAGGUGGCCUGUUGCAAGGCAAAAUUUCUGUCCCUAUCCAAUAUACCCUCAUUUUUCAGUGGCAGUCCAAAUUUCCCCGACCAUCAUCCCAGAUGGCCUCUAUUGUAUCAACCUACCUAUUGUAUUUAUUGUGAACUUGUUCUCGUCCUGAAUAUGCAUGAAAUAUUUGCCACUGGACGUUAAGCAACC
rnacentral:lncRNA from 1 species